UAACCCCCAUGAUGUACAGCACUGGGCUCUGACCACUCUGAUGACAUGUUGCACGCCCUGGGACCUUUGACAUCCGGGGUUCUGAGGGGUUU
rnacentral:snoRNA from 1 species